GACGAACGCUGGCGGCGUGCUUAACACAUGCAAGUCGAACGGAAAGGCCCUGCUUUUGUGGGGUGCUCGAGUGGCGAACGGGUGAGUAACACGUGAGUAACCUGCCCUUGACUUUGGGAUAACUUCAGGAAACUGGGGCUAAUACCGGAUAGGAGCUCCUGCUGCAUGGUGGGGGUUGGAAAGUUUCGGCGGUUGGGGAUGGACUCGCGGCUUAUCAGCUUGUUGGUGGGGUAGUGGCUUACCAAGGCUUUGACGGGUAGCCGGCCUGAGAGGGUGACCGGCAAAAUUGGGACGGAGAUACGGCCCAGACUCCUACGGGAGGAAGAAGUGGGGAAUAUUGCAAAAGGGGCGGAAGCCGGAUGCAGCAACGCCGCGUGCGGGAUGACGGCCUUCGGGUUGUAAACCGCUUUCGCAUGUGACGAAGCGUGAGUGACGGUAAUGGGUAAAGAAGCACCGGCUAACUACGUG
rnacentral:rRNA from 1 species